rnacentral:piRNA from 1 species
UCCUGCAUGAAAUGCUCGCUAAUCAGGAAC